rnacentral:rRNA from 1 species
GGGACACGUGAUAUCCUGUCUGAAUAUGGGGGGACCAUCCUCCAAGGCUAAAUACUACUGACUGACCGAUAGUGAACCAGUACCGUGAGGGAAAGGCGAAAAGAACCCCUGUGAGGGGAGUGAAAUAGAACCUGAAACCGUGUACGUACAAGCAGUAGGAGCACCUUCGUGGUGUGACUGCGUACCUUUUGUAUAAUGGGUCAGCGACUUAUAUUCAGUGGCAAGGUUAACCAUCUAGGGGAGCCGUAGGGAAACCGAGUCUUAACUGGGCGUUCAGUCUCUGGAUAUAGACCCGAAACCAGGUGAUCUAGCCAUGGGCAGGUUGAAGGUUGAGUAACAUCAACUGGAGGACCGAACCGACUAAUGUUGAAAAAUUAGCGGAUGACUUGUGGCUAGGGGUGAAAGGCCAAUCAAACCUGGAGAUAGCUGGUUCUCCCCGAAAGCUAUUUAGGUAGCGCCUCGGACGAAUACUACUGGGGGUAGAGCACUGUUAAGGCUAGGGGGUCAUCCCGACUUACCAACCCUUUGCAAACUCCGAAUACCAGUAAGUACUAUCCGGGAGACACACGGCGGGUGCUAACGUCCGUCGUGGAGAGGGAAACAACCCAGACCGCCAGCUAAGGUCCCAAAUUACUACUAAGUGGGAAACGAUGUGGGAAGGCUCAGACAGCCAGGAUGUUGGCUUAGAAGCAGCCAUCAUUUAAAGAAAGCGUAAUAGCUCACUGGUCGAGUCGGCCUGCGCGGAAGAUGUAACGGGGCUAAGUAG